GAGUUUGAUCCUGGCUCAGAUUGAACGCUGGCGGCACGCCUAACACAUGCAAGUCGAACGGUAACGCGGGGGCAACCCUGGCGACGAGUGGCGGACGGGUGAGUAAUACGUAGGAAUCUGCCCAUUUGUGGGGGAUAACCCGGCGAAAACCGGGCUAAUACCGCAUACGCUCUACGGAGGAAAGCGGGGGAUCGUAAGACCUCGCGCUAAUGGAUGAGCCUACGUCGGAUUAGCUAGUUGGUAGGGUAACGGCCUACCAAGGCGACGAUCCGUAGCUGGUCUGAGAGGACGAUCAGCCACACUGGGACUGAGACACGGCCCAGACUCCUACGGGAGGCAGCAGUGGGGAAUAUUGGACAAUGGGGGCAACCCUGAUCCAGCAAUGCCGCGUGUGUGAAGAAGGCCUGCGGGUUGUAAAGCACUUUCAGAGGGGAAGAAAAAUCGGAUCUAACACAUCCGAGCUUGACGUUACCCUUAGAAGAAGCACCGGCUAACUCCGUGCCAGCAGCCGCCGU
rnacentral:rRNA from 1 species